CAAACGACUCUCGGCAACGGAUAUCUCGGCUCAUGCAUCGAUGAAGAACGUAGCGAAAUGCGAUACUUGGUGUGAAUUGCAGAAUCCCGUGAACCAUCGAGUUUUUGAACGCAAGUUGCGCCCGAAGCCAUUCGGCCGAGGGCACGUCCGCCUGGGCGUCACAC
rnacentral:rRNA from 1 species